GUUACAAUUAUCUAUACUGUAGGGGGACCUCAAGCACCACAAAUUCUCCCAGUUACACCACAUGGAUUUUGAUAUGGAAGCCAACAUUAUCAGAGAAGAUCACACACAAGACACUCCCACUUACUACUUUUUAGAUAGGUAAGGGCAGUGACUUAUAUUAGACCUGUUGUAGUCUCUGAACUGCAAAACAUGGACCUCAUCAAACAUGGUCUCCUAAGCUUUUUAAUACUUCUGCUCUGGACAAAAGGUCUUACUGAUGGGAGUGAUGUCACCCAAACCCCUCUGCUGUGGAAGAACGAGGGUCAUUCUGCCACGAUGGACUGCAGUCACACCAAGGGGAUUGACCACGACCAAAUGUACUGGUACAGACAGCUGCCAGGGGAGAUGAUGAAGCAAAUAGUUCUCACAACUACAACUCCACCACAUAAAUAUGAGAGUGGCUUUAGUGAGGACAAAUUUCCAGCAAAGAAGAACGAUGCUCAGACUGGAUCUUUGACUGUGGAGAAGCUGCUGCAUAAUGACAGUGGAGUGUAUUUCUGUGCUGUGAGUAAACACAGUGAUACAGGUGACUUAGACAGCUGUACAAAUACUCAACUGUCGGUGUCACCGUGAAUAAAAGACAUCAGUGUUUUUAAUUAUCUAUAGGGGGAGCUCUACAUCUGUAAACUACUUCAAGCAAGUAGCAUAUGCCUGAAAAAUGUUUCUGUUUUGUGUUUUAUUGUUUGAUUUGUGAUUAUGUCACAUUACAUGUUAAAUGAUAGGCGACGAGUUGACAUUUGUGGAAUCCAACUGAGUGCUGAUUUAAUUAUUGCUAUAUUUAAUUCAUUACUUUUGAAAAUUCCAGUAAAAUCUUUACACACUCCUUAAAUUUUGUAUCACAAACUGUGCUCGACUGUUACAUUAACUGUAUGUGUUGUAUUCUGUGGCAUGAAAUAUUUGAAAUAUGAAAA